ensembl:lncRNA
GGUAGGGAGCCAAAGUGUCUUCAGGAAGGACACCAGGCAAUGAAAUAGAAGGUAGCAACUGGGUGGAGCAGGAAGUGGUUCUACCUUUGUGUCAGUUUCACCUUUCAGGAAGUGUCCUGGACAGAAGGAUCUUGAAUCACAGUCAGCAGGUCAGCUAGAGAGCCAUGUGACACCAAGAACACUGCUGCAAGCAAUCCCAGUGAAACUCCCAGAGUCCAGCCUCCUGCCUCCAGGCGAGUCCAACUAAAACACAAUCUUGGCUCGAAAGAAAAAGGCAUGUUACCAUCCAACUUUGCCACUUGAAAUGAAACUAGAAAAACAUCCUGAGAACAGAGAAGCCAUUCUUCACUGGGCUACAGCGGAAGGAGUACCCUGCUCAUCCCUCCCUGGCAGCUUCAGGAACACACAGGCAUCCAGCCGUUGCUCCAUCCCCCGGCAGCUGAUGCCCAGAUAUGUGGCCACUGUGGCCGAGCCCAGGGGCCCCAGGGCUUCGGCCAGAAGAUCAAACACGCCCAGCUCACAGGGCAGUGAAGAGAACCAGUUACGAUGCAGUUUGGACAACAAUGGGAAUAAUCAAUCUAAUGACUUCCUUUGA